ACGCGCUCUCCCCGUCCGCCUCCGGCCUCCAUCAUCUCCGCACCGGCGACCUCCCCUUGCCUCCUCCUCCUUCCCUUCUCUUCCACCUAGAUUGAGAAGGGAAGCCAUGGCGCUCCCGCAGCGGCUAGAUCCAGACCAAACCCGUGGGGUUCCAGCUCGACCUCCUCGCAGCGACCAUGGAGGCGGAAUCCGCGGAUCCCACGACCACGGUGGUGCGAGCCCCCCCUCCCGCGCACUCCUUCCCUUCCACUCUGUUCCAUUGAUGCAAAAUUUUCUCUUUUUUUCAUGAUUGACCACUCGCAAUGGAGUUGGAAGCAGGAGGGAUGUGGGUCAGGCAUCUACAUGUGCUGCUGAAUUCGAUUGAUGGUUCUUGAUUGUUGAGUAAUUCCUGUUAGUUGUUAUAUGUGCUGCUGAAUUCUCCAUUAGGGACUUGAUUCAUGUUGGUUGCUGACUUCAUUGUUGAUUGUUGAUUGUCGAGAGAAAAUCCAGGAGAGCGGUUGAUGCUAGCGCUGGCGAUGCGUCAUCUCCCGCCCACGCAGCCUCCCCACUAUGCCUCCACACCCAGAUUCGAGUCCUCUCGGUCUCCCUCCCCCAUCUGUGGUCGGCAACGACAGUCACAAUGAUAGCGAAGUGGUACGACCAGGGGAUGGCGCACAUACGUUGUUGCCGUCGGCUGGCCUAUGCUCGCGUUCAGGAAUGAUGCGUGUUUGCUUUACUGUAGGUGCUUUGGCGCUCUGUAUUUGCUUGUUGUAGAUGCUCUGCUUCCUCUGUUUUCUGCUUUGUCGUGUAUCAAUUGGGUGGUUUGUAGCUGCUGAUGUAAUCCAAGAUGAAGCAGGCAUACAUGUGGACGCUGCUUCUCGCUUGUCUAGCUGCAACUAGCUGCAACUGAUCGCUGGACAAUCACUUAGGGCAGUAUCAUUGCCAUAUAAUUAUUGCAGAGUUGUGUAAGUUUGAUUCAUGAAUGAUAGGACCAAGGAAGGAUAAAUGAAAUGCUUUGCAGUUCAAAAGAGAGUUAACAAUGAUUUAACGACGUUGGAUGGCUGAAUGUGCUCCUAAAGAAGAGGUCGGCUGCUAACAGGUUCCAGGUGGCCGGGAUUGAGGAAAUUAUAUCAGGAAACGAUUUUACAAGGAUGCAUCCCUUUUUACAUGGGGAAGCAGAUAACAGUAACGAACCAAGCAAGAUGACUAUGGUGCGUGACCUCAAGCUGUGAUAAGACAGAAACUGGAACUUCUGUGCCCGUUGAAGAUGAGACGGACGAAGUUACUGAUGAAGCAAUUGGUGCAAAGCUCAAUAUUUUAUAUACACAGAAAAGGGCAGUUUCUUCAGAACUUGCCUCUGCUCAUGCAUGUGAAAAGAACAUAGCUGAUAAAAACAAGUCUCUUAAGCACAAGGUAAGGAAGUCAUUCUUGGAGAAGCAGAGAUUGUUGUAACAACACUCAGUGGGUGUGGAGGUGAUAUUUACGGAGUUUGCUCGGAAAUUGCUUCAACUAAGGAAUAUGGGAAUUUCUCUGAGCAAACUUUGUUUGAUGUUUUUGUUAUCGAUUUAAGCUGCACAGGUGGGGUCUCAGACUCUCAAUACAAACUGUCCUCUUUCAAAUCAAGCUAGCUUUAUAUUUAAUAUUUAUUAUAUGCUAAACACUAAGCUUCUUUUGGUUUACUCAUAUUUAGGCUCUUGAGCAUGCAACUUUGAUUCCACUUCAGCUACUCAAGUCAAAAGGAACUAAGUGCAUAAUGGUAACAUGCUCUCUUUUAAAACAUUUCUGAUUAAAGAAUAGUUUUUAGCUACACCUUGAAGCAACAUUACAGUGCUAUCUCUUACUUAGUAAUGUCUCUUUUGAAGGUUGGUGAUCCGAAGCAGCUACCUGCUAUCUCUUACUUAGUAAUGUUACUUAUUAAAGCGCAUGUCAAACCAUGUUGUCAUUCUUGGAUUUUAGUUUUCGGUGUGCCAUAUCUUUUUUACAUUUAUGUCCUAAAAAUGCUCUGAUUCCAAUGAUGAUCAACCUUAUGCAAUUUUAUGUGAAAACAAUAGCAACCUCAUUAACAUGAUUACAAGUAACAAGCUGCGCAUACAUAGUCCCCGUGUGUUGUUUGAGUAUGCCAUUCUUAAUGGAUUACUAAAUUUGUAUGUGAGAACUGAGAAGAGCUAUCAACUGCAGGCCGUAUGCUAAUUUCUCAAUUAUUUUGUAUUGUCUGCACGAUCGAAUGCAUCCUUACAUUAGCAGAUUCCCGUCGUUGCAUUUCUAUGAAAACAAACUGCUGGAUGGUGCUCAGAAGGCUGAGAAAUCAGAUCCUUUCCAUGAUCACCGUUGUCUUGGUCCAUACAUGUUCUUUGAUAUUGCCGAUGGUCGUGAGCAUGCUGGAACAAGUGCUGCUGCACAAUCACUCUCUAAUCAAUUUGAAGCUGGUGCAGCACUUGAAAUACUGUCAUUUUUAAAGAACAAAUAUCCAACAGAUUUCUCCUGUAGAAAGAUAGGGACCAUAACUUAUGGCUAUGUUGGGGAAGAGUUCUUGCGGGUGUGAGCUUGAGGAAGAAGGAGACGGCAAGUGAAAGACCGAGAAGACCAGGAAUUAUUCUUUGCUGGCCGUAAGGUGGAGGCGCUGCUUAGGGAACAUGUGCGGACAUCCUUGCUCCUUUUAUUCUUCCAGUUUUAGGUACUCUCCAGCAGGCUUGUACGGAGUACCUAUCUUGCUAUGUACUGAAUUAUUUGCAACUAUGUAGCAAACUGUAUUAGGAGAUCUAGAUAUAUAAUGCGUGUGUGUAUGAAUUAAUUAUUACCAUCACCUAGCUAGCUUGUUACCUGAAAGAUCGAGGCGAACUUUUAUUGUAUGGAUGCUGUGUCGCUGGUUUUCUGUGAUGUUUCAGGGACACAUUGUUUUUCA